UACGUUCCCGGGCCUUGUACACACCGCCCGUCACACCACGGAAGCCGGUAACACCCGAAGCCGGUGGCCUAACCCGCAAGGGAGGGAGCCGUCGAAGGUGGGAUUGGUGACUGGGGUG
rnacentral:rRNA from 1 species